rnacentral:lncRNA from 1 species
GUGGGAUAGCUGCCUCCGAAGCUCUUGGGAGAAGUUUCCCUCUGGAAGGAAGCAUAGAAAUGGCUCAGAGAUGGUGUGGGACCUGGGGAGAAAAGGGGCCAUGGCAGGGAGCUGUCCUUGAGGAGCUGGGGUGUGGCUCGGGAGUGUGCAGGGCUGUCCUGCAGCUGUAUCCAAGGAAGUCAGAUGGGGACCCUGCAGUGAGGGUCGACCCCCUGCAGCCCCUGUGGGAAGGCACCCCCAGCUUCAGACACAUUUGUUUCUGAACAUACCUCUUUGUUGAGGGCUGAGGACCACUGCAUGCCUACCUUCCAUGACCACCCACCCUUCUGCAGGGCAUGGGGGAGUCUCUCUGCCAUACCCUUCUAAGACCAGGGCCUGAUGGCAUUCCUGUCCCUGGGAAGGUGGGCUACUUCUUGCUCCUCCUCUUUGAAAUAAAGCUAAUGGCAAAACCCUUCCAGGCUUCUCAUUAGAGACUGGGCACCUCCCUCUGCACUCACCCUUGAGGGGCUCUCAGACUUCCCUCUUGCCCCAGUGCCCUUAUGGGGUUUAUCUUGGGGACCACUGUUUCUCACAUGGAUUCUUCCUUAAGAAAGAGAGAAAAAAGCUUCCCUAAGUUUAACCUUAACUAAUAAAAUGAUCUGGUUUGCCCUCUUUAAAAAAAUGAUUUAUAAUUUUUAUUAUGAGUUAUUUUUUCCUCCACAUUUUUAAUGAUACGUUGUAGUUGUACAUAAUGGUGGGGUUUGUUGCUAUAAUUAGUACAUGCACACAGCAGUUUUACUUCAUAGAACAUUUUUUUUUUUUUUUGGAGUUUGCGUAGUCCCCUAGUCCCACAAAAUAUCCUGUCCCUGGGACAGUGGGACCAGUUUUGGACAUCCUGCAUAUGAAAGGGUCAAAAAGUUCUGCAGCUAAAAACACCUUUGUCUCUGUUUUAUCCAACAUUUCUCAAACAUAUUUGACCCCCAAACAGUGCCCACCACAAUAUUUUUUUGGGAAAUUUCUGCUUAUAUAGCCAGUUUAUAAGAAAUACAGUAAUUUUCAUUUUUCACCUGAUCCAAAGGACCUUUUAAAAUAUUUUUAGUAAUUUUACAAGUAAUUUGAAGAAGUAAGAAUGAAAGGAGGUGAAAAACAGCUCUAAUGGGAAUUUUGACACUGGAAUUGAACCACACAGGUUCAGUUUCUGCUCCGUGUUCUGGUUUUGAAGGUGCACAGGCCCUGGGUGGGCCCGACUCUGGAUCACAUUUCCAAGAUGGGAAACACUGAGUCAGCCUUCCAGUGAUCUCUAGAAGGUUCUUGCUUCUGCCUCUCUGGCUACCUGAAUUGUGAAAGCAUGUAGGAAUCAUUUGAAGUCUUCCAUAACAUAUUUUUCUUAAAAGGAAGAUGGUCAUUUUUGCUUCAUAAUUGCAAAACAUUUUCAUUUUUGGGUCUAUAAAUACCAAUCAAGAUGAUCAACCCAGCAUGACUACUGUUUUCCUGCCAGUCCUCUUUGUAUGCACACCUGCUUUCAACAUUUGCUACAAAACACAUCAAGUAGAUGUCAGGGUGCAAACCUCAUAAGAGGAAGAAGUACCCCACAUACUUUUUCAGCCAGAUGGCAUGGUCCAGGCUCUGGACAAAGAUUGGCAUGAUGCAGCCCUUCUAGGUGGAUGACCACCUGGAGAAUACCGUGCUUGCUUUUGGUCCACAGAAAUAUUUUAUUCUCCCAUCACGUUUUGAGUUAGAAAAACUCUUUGCGUCUGAUGUCACGUUUAGUCUUCGGGUCUGAGAUUGCCUUAUGUAAUCAAUUUCACCACUGUCACUGGAAUCUAGACACCUGUGAUCUCCUUGAGUCCAUCUGAUUUAUCUAAGAUUUGUGAAACAUCUUCCUUUAUUUUUCUCUUUGAUCUUAUAAACUGAAAGUAAAGAAAUUCAGAAUUUCCAACUGUGCCCAACGCAAACUAACUUCAGAUUAGAAAGAUGGGAUCUUUCACAUCUUGGCCUCUCGCCCAGCAACAGGACAGCAAGAAUGAGAAGACAGAAAUGGCUGUCUUCUCCCUCCAGUGCCUCAUUGUUUCUUUGAGAAUGAUUUGCAAUAGUUCAUGGAUAAUAAUGAAUUAGCAAGAACGUAUCAAGACACAGGGAAAAUAAUGACCCUCAGCUCAGCAGAGGUAGGUAAAAUAAUGACCCUAAGCUAAAUGUGGUGGCACAUGCCAUAAUCCCAGUAGUUUGGGAGGCUAAGGCAGGAGGAUUGAAAGUUCAAAGCCAGACUUUGCAGUUUAGCAAGUCCCUGUCCCAAAAAAAUGAAAUAUAAUAAAAUAAAAGAGGGCUGGGGAUAUUGUUCAGGGCUAAGUGCCUUAGGGUUCAAUUUCCAGUACCAAAACAACAACAACAACAAAUCCCCCCCCAAAAAAAAACCCAGAACAAAACAAAACCAUAAGAUCCUCAGAUGUAGCUCAGAUGUAUAAAAGGGUCUAAAGGAUCCACAUAGUGGUUGCAAUAUAGAGUAAAUGCUAUUGUCAUAAGAAAAAUAGAUAAUUAUUUCUUUGGAAAAUUUCUGGGGAAAGAAUAGAAGUCAAAUUGUAUCAGUCCUUACAAAUAUAUAGAACAGCUCAAAAAGAAAACCCCAAACUGAACCUGGAUCUGGUGGGUCCUGGUGAGAGUGAGCUUUCUCCCACAUUUUGAUUUUGAUUUACAUAUAAUCUCUUAAAUGAAUGAAAAAAGUGCUUUCCCUUUUUUGAGUGGUACAGAAAUGAUUUUUCAGAAAACAUCAUGUAGACCAGCAUCACCUUCAGCUUCGCACUGAAGAUUUGUCCUGUGCAAUCUCAUGUUUCCCUUUCCAUAUGGGAUGCAUUCCGCCACAUGGAUUUAGGAUGCAUUACAUAAGAUGAGUGUGGUUCCAGAAAAUAAAGAAAAAAGGCAAAUGCUUUGAUUUUAGUUCCUAAAUAUACAUUCUAUGUGGUAUGUUUUAUGUUAUAACACAAAAAAUUGGCAAAACUGUUUUUAGUUUCCCGAGAUUUGGAAUGCUUACAUUUUGUACUUAAGCUGAUCUAUUUUUAUAAUUUUUGAUGCUUUAUUUCUAAUGGACAAGAUAAGACAGGGGAUUUUACCUGUUCUUUUCGUAAUACAUUGCAGUAUGUGGGUUUUUUUCCACUAAGUAAAAGCCCACCAAUAUACGCCUGUUUUCUUUCAGCUCACAGCUUUGAAGCGCCAGAAAUCCAGUCUGGAGGGAGAUGGGUGGUGUCUUCACCAUCUUGUGCUUCCUGCUGGGUGCUGGAGUUUCCUCGUGCUCCCGGACUUCUUGUCCUCAGCCGUGCUCUGCUGUGGUUCAAAACAAACUAGAAGGCAGAGAUUAAAGCAAUGCAAGUCAAACACAGUCUGGUCCACAGAGGGCCACUGGGGACGUGUGGGUGAGUCAUGAGCAUGUUGCCCCGUCCCUCACACUUUAGAACCUUCUCCAGCAGUUCUGUGUCACAGGGAGAAGUUUGAAAUAACCAUCCUAUUUACUGAGUUAAAAAUAGAAGUGGCUGCAACAUGUUCUUUGCUCUUUCAGGGAUCCAAACUCCUGGGUUGCUUUCAACAGACCGAGAAUCACUGGUUGGGAACGUGGAUCUGACUGAGCAAUGGGAGCCUGGCCUUUGGGAGCUGGCCUGUGCAUGCCCUGCGUGCGUGGGAGACAUGGGACUUGUCCUUCUUUGAGGCUCCCUGGCAUAGACUCCUUGCUCACCAUCACUUUUUCAUUUUCUAUUGCCCACAACGAAGUUCAGUUUCCAAAACCAUCGCCCAACUUAUAUGCACCCACGAGGUUUGGGAUUGGUGUUAACACUAUAGCUGCCUGAGUAGCUACUUUGGCAGGCUAAGGUUCUGACCCUAUGUUACCCGUCCCUGUCUUUGGGACUGGAGGCUGAAUUCCAUGCCCCACCCAUUGGGGGCACUGCAGGCUCCAGGGUCCUGAGCCCCUGCCUGGGCUGAGAGGUAGGCUGCGGGGACAGGAGGGGCUGAUGCUGGCCUCAUGCCAUCAGGGUCAAGGGCCAGUGGUGCACACUUUGUCUCCUAUCCUGGGGUCAGCCAGGCCUGCACGGACUCAUCCUCAGCCUAUAUCUGCAGUAUAUGCCUCCGAAGUUUCCAUCAAUAGGGGGCGGCUGGGUAUACAAUGAUGAGGAAGGGUAUAGGCUCCGGGGAAGACCCAGGCACCCAAACCAGCACGAGUAUCAGGUCACUUCCCUUUUCCUCCCCCACAUGUGCCUUUCUGGUCUGUUGCACUGGGAGCCAGCUGCUAGCAGCCUGGGAAGGGCUGAGGUGCUCUCAGAGGCCAGCGUCUCCACAGGGAAGUGUUCCUUAUUCGCCCCUGGUAGGAAUGGCCAGGGAAGCCCAACAGAGAGACCGAGAGGGAUCUUCUCCCAUGUGCUCUCCCUCAUGGUGAGAAUCCCAUCCCGAAUGCAGGCAGGGUCCCCAUGCUGCCACCCCAGCUCCUGCCUUGUUGUGAGGAUGGUGCAGAGGGCUGUGGAGCCAGGGUUAGCUGGGUGGGGAGGGCUGCUGGAGGACUUGCUCAAGCAGGCUGCAGCAAGGCCUUGGGCACGGUGUGGUUACCUCACACCCAGGGACCUGCAGGUGCAUGCUGGGCUGUUUCUGGGUUGGCACCCAGACCCUUGGCCCUCACUGCCACACGAAUCUGCCUGGAGGAGCCAGGUGGGUGCUGCUUGCUGACCCUAGCCUGGCCAGGACAGCCUGGGGAGGAGCUGCAACCCAUGGGGUUGAGUGGGCACAGGGCCAUCAGCCAGGCCUACCAGACUCUGGUGAGAAGUCACCUGCCAGGGGCCUGAGGGCUACAGGGAGCCCCUGACCCAACACCCCAGAAGGCAAAGCCCAUCAGAGGUUGAGUUCCAUGGUUCCCCUAAGCUUUCUGUCUCCGGCUGUCCCUAUUAAAGGAGGGACAGUGGUUCAGGCUGCUGAGGUGGGGUGCUCAAGACCUGGCAGCUUGCCCAACAGACAUCCAUUUCUUGAAAAUCUGGAGGCUGGACAUGUAGGACCAGGAUGCCAGAGGGGCUGGGGGCUGUGAGGGCCCUUUUCUGGGGUGCAGAUGGCGCCUUCUAACAGAGUCCUCUCAUGCGAAGGUGAGCGGGGCUGCUCUCUGGGUUCAUGUAUGUAAGGGUCCUAUUUUAGGGUUCCACUCUGUGACCUGUCUGGCUCCCAAAAACCUCACCUCCUAAUACCGACACAUUGGGAGGGGCCAGGUUUCAACAUAUGAAUCUUGGGGUGACACAGACAUUGAGUCCAUGGCAGAACAGGUGCCAUAGACCCAAUACUACUGCAUUUCACUUCUCACAGAAACCCUGCCGGCAGAGGAGGAGACUGGCUCAGAGAGGUGGAGAUGCUGCCUGGUGGGCCAGCGGCCACGGCCGAGUUGGGGGGCUGGCCUAGGGUGGUGCAGAUGCCAGGACCAGUCCCCUCCCAGGGACAGGGAGUGACCUCCUCUGAGAGGACCGGGCUCCUUUCCAGCUGAGAGUGGGCAAGAUCAGCAACUGCUGUGGCCAGGACUCUGUGGGGCAGGGUGUUGGGUGGGGGUCCCAAGGGAAGGCUUUGGCUGGUCCUGUUCGGGAGUCCUCUCUCCCUUUCCUUGGCCACAGGAAGGCUGAGAAUGAAGAGGCAUCACCCACCUCCUUCACUCCUCAGGGAUCCCACAAGACCCAGCUCUUCCAUGCAGCCAUUCGAUCCUUACGCUUUGUGUGACUACUGGCCCCACUAUGCUCCUGUGAGAUAUGGCAGCUUGCUGCCUCCCUCCCAACAAGCAAGGGACCUGUGCUCUUUUUUGUCCCAGGCUGGUGGCCUGGAACGGGACCCUGUUGAUUCAGAGUGGCUCAUGUACUAAGAGGAAGUUGUGUGGCUGGGUUCCUGCAACAGAGCACCUAAGGCCCAAGAUGUGUGCACGUGUGCCCCGUUGUCCCCAGAGGCUGGCUAUGGUCUGGUGGCAGAGGUUCACUCCCAGGGAGGAAGAAAUCACCAAGUGACAAGUGAUGUUUUGGGUAAAGCCCUUCUUGUUCCGCCCUCACCCACCUGGGGCUCCUAGGCUUCCUGGUGCUUCCCCCUGCUGUUGUUUCACUGGGGAGGGACCAGGGCAGGGAGGGGACAGCUGGGGAAACAUUCCUGAUUCUCUGUGCAUUCCUUUCUUCCUGUCCACUGGUGAUUCCUGAUCUGCUUUGGGGUAGGUAAAUAACUCUUCCCUAUCAACAUCUGACAUCCCCCAAACUCUGUGGCAUGAACCAUCACCCCAGGUUGGCUCUUGGUGUGUGAGGUUCAUCCUAUGGAAUUCUAAGGAAAUCUCUCUCCAUACAGCCUGGUUUUGCAAAUCAAAAGCUCUUUGAUUUUUUUCAGACUGCUUCAGCUAGAGACAGACAAAGUCUACACAAGAGUCUCAAACAGGAUCGCAGCUUGCUGGUUUCAGCAUGCGGGAAGCAAUCCUGCCCCCUGGACAGCAGGGUCCAGGCAGGUUGGCACCCAUUGUUCUGGGGGCAACUGUUCAUCUCAGACUUUAUAAAUGUGCUGACGAUCACCUGAGGGGGGAAACGUUCUGAGUUUGCAAAUGAGCUGGUAUGGGAGCCUUGGCUAGGUCUGGGAAGUCCGGGAAGCAGCCACCUCUUACUGCCUUAGACUGCCACCUUGCUAGGUAUGCAGAAUGAAGGGACUUCUGGAAGGCAGAGACAGCCACUGCGGAGCCCACAAGGGCUACACAGGAGGUGGGCCUGGAGGUGGCUAUGGGGAGAUACUGACCAGGCGCCUAGAAAGAGAGGCAUUUCCAGUGCAAUCAGUGGGAUUGAAGGUGUGGGAGACAGGCGUUCACUGAGUGGCCAGGGCCAGUCUGAUGGCUCUGAGGCUUUGUGUUGGAGCAUGGCAAAAGAGGAGGUCAGAGAGGUGGGCUGGCUGGGCACGGAGUCUUGGAAAGUUGACUGAGGGGUGGUCUGGGCUCACUAAGGAGUGAGCCACAUUCCAGGAGGAAGUUAGGGACAGGUGGAAGUGAGGUGCCAGAGGACAGCGACAGAUGCUGUUAUGGAGGCCCAGCAUGGUGGACUGCAGUGGGCAUGAGGAGGGGAGGGGAGGCCUGAGUGGGCAGCACCCUGUGGGGGAAUCACCAGGUCUCUGGAGCUGACUCUGGAGGUGCAAGGAAGCUUCAGGUCUGUGGGUGGGAAGCCAGCCAGGCUUCAGCAGCACUGGGGAAGCCUGGAGGGGUCCCUGUUGGGCAGCACUGGUGGCACUGCAGGGUGGUGACAUUCAGUAGCCAGCUGGCCCUGGGGGCAUGGAGGCAGCAGAGUGGCCAGGACUGUGGUGACAUAUAGAUUCUGUGCAGGAUGACCCUGCAGGAGGUGAGACUGCAGGUGGAUGGCCUCUGGGGAGGGCGCCUGGAGCAGAGCCAUGGCCCCGGGAAAGCCCAGGGGCAGCCACACUGCCCAAUGCACUGGAACAUCUCAGAGGAACUGGACCUAGGAGAGGAGCACUCUGCCCCUGGGUGACAGCUGGGGCUUUCUCCUGCUCCACCUGCCGAUUUCAGUCUCAUAAGGCAUUUUUCUUAGUGAGCGCAGUGGAGACCAAAGCCUCUCAGAACAGGAGAGUGGGAGCCUGAAGAAGGGCCUUCUGGAUCCCUCCAGGGCCCAGGGCAGUCUUGACGCCACCCCUGUGCCCCCUGACACUGUCCCCCAGGCCUCAUGCCCUGUAGAGGGACAAGGCGAUUUCCCAGGCCGCUCAGGAGUUUAUAUUUUCUUCCUUUCUACUUUUUCUUUUGUUCUAACUAGUUUUACAUGACAGGGGAAUGCAUUUUGACACAUCUUUUUUUUUUUAAAUAUUUAUUUAUUUAUUUUAGUUUUCGGCGGACACAACAUCUUUGUUUGUAUGUGGUGUUGAGGAUCGAACCCGGGCCGCACGCAUGCCAGGCAAGCGUGCUACUGCUUGAGCCACAUCCCCAACCCCUUGACACAUCUUAUGUAAAGGGAUAUCAGGGGGUUAUAUUUCUGUCAUCACAGACUCCUAAACAAGUGCUCUCAGGAUGGUGAUUUUUCGGGGUGCACCCCCAGCGGCAGUUGCGUUUCUGGGCUGGUGAUUAAAGAUGGCUAUGCAGGUGGGGGUGGUAGGAUGCAUCCCAUUUUUUCCGCACAAGAUCUUUUCCAACUAAAUGAAUCCUGCGGCUGGCUGCAUACCCUGAGAUCCCCCCUCUCCCAGCAACGAGCCGACCACAGCACCAGGCCUGGACACAGCAGCUUCCCGCCCCAGCCCUCCCGACAGCCAGCAGAAGCCAAUCAGUCAGGGUGGAGAGGUGGCCCUGGGCUGUCUGGCUCUCCUGGCAGUGCUGUUCACAGGCUGGCUGUUGAAGGGACACUCUUUCCUUCGCCCUGCGCCCUCUGAAGGUGAAGACUGGGCUUCCGCCUCCCUGUGAGCACCUGUUCCCUACCGUUCCGACAGUUUGACUAACUCAUCAAGCUUUUUGUGCAGCACAUACUCUGGCAGGAACAGAAGCAGCAUGACACUCGCUGGAUACGGGCUGCGCAAGCACCACCACGUGCUCCCAGAGCUAGGCCAGCAUCCUGGGCGUAGCUGAUUGGCAUUCUGUCUCAUGCCCACCAGCUCACAGUGGCGGAAGCUAUGGACACGUGGAUGGGGAGGGGAGGUUUGUGGGGUGUGCUCACAUAGUUCUUCUCCAUUUGAGAGAAGCCCACUGUAGGAAAGGCCCCAGUCUGAGGCAGUCACAGGCCCGAGUUCGGGCACCUUGGGAAAGUGUGUCCUCACACUCUACUGACCUGUCAGGGCCAGCGUGGCCAGUCCUCUGUCCUCAGGCUUCUGGUCCCAUGAUGGUCACUAGGUGUCCAGAGCAGGAGGACAAAAGGAUUUUGAGGUCAUUUGGACACACUCACCAAGACCAUUGCUGGUCCAUGAAGCUCUCACUGUCCUAGCUGAAGGGCAACAUCUCCUCUGCUGGAAGCUGAGGAUACUGCCUUAUGGUGCGGAUGCUGCAUAUGCGAUGUCACACACGAAGCCUGCCUCACUUCUUGAGAGGGUCUGUGGCUUCAGUCCCUCUGAAGGAUGCAGGAUGGAGAGCCCUGCAUCUAGGGCUGAUCCCAGAAAUGAGUUCCAGGGGUCUAUGCUGAGGCUGCUGGUCCUGCUAGAGGUGAUGUGGCCUCUCCCUUGACCGGCUGCAAUUGCUUGGGGAAAAAGGCACACACCAGGUCAGGAGCGGUUCUUAUCCUAGUGAGGCUGACCCCAGAGCUUCUAGGCCUCGAGGAUGCACUGAUGGGCCCAGCAUGGUGCUGACAGGUGGACAGGCAGAGGCUUGCCUUCCUGGGGCUUACCACCUGGAGCAUGGCAUUUGCACAUUCUCUGUGAAGAGCCAGAUAGUAAGCAUUUCCUACCUUGUGGGCUGUGGGUCUCUGUCCUAACUAGCCAUGUGGUCACUGUAGCUGUAGGUGGAUGCCUUGGUGUUCCGAUAAAACCUCACGUUUUUGGUCAGAUUUUGCAAUUUCUUACUACCCAGAUUUUCCCUCUGAGCCUCUGAAGGAUGGGAACAUGUUCUUGCUCCUUUUCUUUUUCCCAGAGCCUAGCAUGGGGCCUUACUCAGUUUACACCCCCCAGUCAUUUCAAGAAGACGCUGGGGGCUCCAGUUAUGCUGACAGUUCACACACUGGGCCGCGCUUGAAGGGCCUAAGUGCUGCCCACUGAGGUGCACACCUCUCACAGCGGAUACUGGCGCUGGGGCACUUUCUAGUUCAUUCUGUUGUCUUUUCUAUUCCCUCCUUUCCUUCCCUUUCUCCCUUUUCUUCUUCUUUCUCCUCUCACCUAUUUUCCUAAACAUUUAUUAGGCACUUUCUGUGUACAGACACUAUGCUUGGCUCUAGAGACACAAAGAACAGUCAAGACAUAAGGUUGGUCCACAAGGGGCUUCGAUGAAGGGAGAAGAGGCCUGUUCUGCCUCAGGAUGCUGAGCUGUGGGCACAUGGGCCCAGGCCUUGCCUCUCCCCCAAAGCAGGGAGUGGGCAUUAGCUUCCAGUGGCUGCCUCAGCCUCUGAGCCACGGGUUAAAUCUGAGGCUGUUCUGCAAGGGCGCGGGCCUGGCUGGUGUUGUUUCUAGGCAGAGGCUGGAACCUGUGUCUCUUGUUUUGAUAAAGCUUUGCUGUCAGAGUUUGAGCAAUAGGUGUGGAUAUCUUGAAGCAAGAUAGUGGCCAAGUCCUCAUCUAGGAAGCAGAGAGCUAAGCUGAAGAGGAAAUUUGCAACCAAGGGAAACAACCAGCAGGGACCAGAUCAGAAAAAGGUGGAAAAACAUAACCCAGAGGCACACUUUGCUUUGUUUAGAACACAUUUUCCUGUGAACCCCAAAAGCUGUGCCAGGUGUGUGAUGAGCAGCCGUGGACGGCGGAGCCCACCUGGGGCCUGCUUCCCACUCCCUCCCUGCUCUGCUCUCAGGUGUCAUCUUGGAGCUGGCGCUGCCAGGUCACAUGGUCCUGUGCACCCUGUACUGUUGGAGGUUAGCACGUGUCCAGCCCACUUUACCCAGGAUCUCUCAAUGGCCGUGAAGCCUUCUGCACUGUCCCGUUAAUCCUCAGGUGCUCUCUGGUUCUGGCCUCAUUGAGAGGCCACGGGUUCAUUUCUCCUAAGAUGUCUUCCAGCCAGUGUAUUCUCUGACCUGGGGCUUGGUCUCAAGGCCUCCGGCUCACAGAGACCUAGCCGGGGACAGCCCUGGCUCUGGGCAAGGACAGGAGAGAACCCCAGAGGCAUGCACACAGUUUUUGGGUAUGUGGGUGCCAGCUGAGGUCCCAGCCGGGUUUCCUAGGAAGUCCAAGUAUCACAUCCCACACCUUGGGUGGAAGGGAAAGAGGACAGAGGUGGGUCAGUUGGGUGAGGGGCUCCCAGGGACCCAGGUCCAGAGGGUGAGUGGACUUUUAUCCCUUUCAGGGACUGGAGGAUCAAAGUGCAAAAGAUCCCAAAACUUCCUGUCACCAUACCUCACUAAUUAGGCAACUCCUGGCAAUUCGACUUUGGACUUUGCUCUUGAAAAGAAAAUCCUGGUAGAUCCAGGAACUCGGCAAGACGUCAGCGUUUGCUCAGGGGUUGAGGUCCCCUGAACCAUCUAGGUCACCUGCCCCAGACUGGUGGUUAGUCAUGGCCUGAUAAUAACAAGAGAGUACGUCAAGCUUCACGUGUGCUUUGGCAUUCAGUGCUCAUAUCUGUGUGUCUUGCCGUGACCUCGAGGAUGAGCAACGGUGGCCUACUAGGUGCUCACCUUCGAGCACCUGCUGCCCUCCUGCCCCUGUUCCAUGCACGGUCGACGCAUCUUCUCUCUCAAUGCUCACUGUAGCCGUGAGUGAUGCAGCUGUCACAUCAGGAGUGGACCAGGCUCCCGCAGGAUGGGGAACAGGCCUGCCCACAGGGCUCAGGGGGCCACCAUCUUCCCAGGCCAUGGAACAGGGAGAGACCAGGUUAUCUGGCACCUGGACUCCCAUCUGGAGCUUGAUGCAAGUGCCCCCAGCAGAGGUAGAAGGUGAAAGGAGCUGGCCUCAGAUGGCCCCUGUGACCACUGCCUUGUUGCCCACCCAGCGUUGCUCUCUCUUGGGAAGAUGGUGUCACCUACCUUGGCCCCAGUCUGUGGGUUCAGGGUGAAGACCCCUGUGUAUCCAGCUGCUCAGCUGAGAGGACUGUUAUGAACAGGGUGCAGGGCAGGAGGGGGCAGGGACCUCUUCCAGGGCUGCUGCAGGCCCCGCUGUGCUGGAGAAACUGGAGAGGACCGUGGCUCCAGGUGAGCGCUGGGUGGGCGAAGGUGGCUGUGGCAGCAGCAAAUGGCAGGGUGAGGGCUGAAGAGCAAGGAG